UGGGGUUUUAGGCUGGGUUUCUGUACAACACUUUGAUAUAUCAGCUGAUCUUCAAUUAGUAGAACAUGCCUGACUAAUCCACCAGCCAUCAAAAAGAGAGCUGGCAAAAGCAAGCAAAGGCAGCAGCGCAGUCAUCAACUAUGCAUGCAAGUAUGGAGUUGGGGAAAACACAUGUGGACCUGAAAUGUGGUAACUGCAGUGGCCAAAACAAGAACAAGUUUGUGCUCUGGUAUUGUGCCUGGUGGACCAAGCACAAGCUCCACCACAAUCUGGACCUUCACUUCCGGAUCAUAGGCCACACCAAGUUUGUCCCUGACUGGUGCUUCGGCCUCAUCAAGAAGCUCUUUAGAAAGACCAGAGUGAACACUUUGUCUGAGAUUGCUGGUGUUGUGAAGGACAGCACUGUGACGGGGUCAAUAUCCCACAUCUAGUUGGACUGGAGGAUGGCACGGUGCUGGUGGAAAGCUAUGGCUGUCAACAACACCUGACUCCGUACUUCAGGCCGCUGCCACAGAUAAAGCAGUACCAGCACUUCAGCUUUCAUGCUUUGGUUCCUGGUGUUGUCGCCAAGGUGCUUUCGGACUGUCGGCACCAGGUUUCACCUGCUGCGCAACGCUGACAUCCUUCCUCUCAUAGAUGGUCUGCCUUUUAAAAGCAUCAUCUGGACUGGACACAGCUAGACAAACUAUAUUUUUGACAAGAUCAGGGACAAGUUCACAUGCCCUGCAGCAAAAAAAAGGGCAGAACAGAAACAGGCUCUCCGAAUAUAGAUUUCCUUGUUCACGCGUGGUUUGGACGGACCAGUCAUCAGCACUAUCUGCAGUGCCUCUAUUCACAUGACUCUCUCCUAACACACAAGCCAGACGUUGGUGCUACUAUUUGUUUUUAUCCUGCUGCUCAACCACUUUACCCCUGAUUGUAUGCAUAUAACUACCUCGUCUAUCACUGAUAUCGUUAUUGUACAUACUGUAUAUUUGAUUUAUAAUGACACUAUUUCUGAUAUUGCUACUAUGCAAGUAACCAUUUGGCUGUACCAUUUACACCUUCUGUAGAGACCCUCCACUUAGCAAGACUUAGCAAAAUAUUGAUAUAUAAAAUGAAUAUUGAUAUGUUUGGUCGUAACAUGAUUUUGUGUUAUGUAUAAGUAUCAAGUGUCCACAUAAAUAUAUGGUGCAUGCAUCUGUUUAUAUACUGUACAUGUGCAAAAAACAACUCACUCGGGUUUCAACAGGUUUCAUGGCCUUAACUUAUGUUUGGAAUACUAUGUGAUAAGUGCAUGUGUAACAGUAUAUAAAGUAUGCUAAUGUACUGGUGUGAAGGUAUUUGGGCAGUUGUGUAAAAUACUUUAAAGUGCUACUUAAGCAGUUUUUUGUGGUAUCUGGUAUACAUUACUAUUUAUAUAUAUUUUUAAUCUUUUCACUACAUUUGUAAAGAAAAUAAUGUACUUUUUACUACAUACAUUUUCCUUGACACCCAAAAGUACUUUUGGCAGGACAAUUUGACAAUUGUCCACUUAUCAACAGAACAUCCCUACUGCCUCUGAUCUGGCAGACUCACUAAACACAUCAUCACGCUUCAUUUGUGAA